rnacentral:lncRNA from 1 species
GCCUUCCCUAUACAUAGGUUUCACAUCUUGCUAAUACUGUAUGUUCUUUCCUUCCUUCUCUCCUUCCUUCCUUCUCUCUUUCUCUCUCUCUCUCUCUCUCUCUCUCUCUAUUACUAUUUCAAUAGUUUUUGGGGAGCGAAUAUGGUAUUUUCAAUCUGCUUUUGGUUGAAAAAAAAUCCGUGUAAGAGUGGAUCUGCACAGUUUGCUGGAGUGCAGUGGUGCCUGCCAUCUUGCCUCACUGCAACCUCUGCCCCCUGGGCUCAGGUGAUUCUCCUACCUUAGGCUCUCGAGUAGCUGGGACUACAGGCACAUGCCACCACGCCUGGUUAAUUUUUUGUAUUUUUAGUAGAGACGGGGUUUUGCUAUGUUGCCCAGGCUGGUCUGGAACUCCUGGACUCAAGCAAUUUGCCUGCCUUGGCCUCUCAAGAGUGUUGGGAUUACAGGCGUGAGCCACCACGCAUGGCCUAAAGAUUUUUAUAUACUUAACUGACAUUUAUAUGUGUUAUUUCUUGAACUAUUUAUUGUCUUUCUCCAUUUUUGGAAUGGAACUACUCUGGUUUAUUUUUAAUUUGUAAAAACUCUUUAUGUAUUAGCAUCAUCUUUUUGUCAUACAUGCUGUAUCUUUUCUCCCAUUUCUAGUUUAAUUUUUUCUGUAACCUUUUACUUUUUUUUUUUUUUUAAAUGACAGUCUCGGCCAGGUGCGGUGGCUCAUGCCUGUAACACCAGCACUUUGGGAGGCUGAGGUGGGCGGAUCACGGGGUUAAGAGAUCGAGACCAUCAUGGCCAACAUGGUGAAACCCCGUCUCUACUAAAAAUACAAAAAUUAGCUGGGCAUUGUGGCGCUUGCCUGUAGUCCCAGCUAC